CAGAGCAGAGACAGCACUGCACAGCCAGCCACGGUGUUUUCAGUUGAAAGGCUUGAAAGAAUACUUACUAUUGUAUCCUAGCUCUGCCUGACCCCAGAGGUCACAAUAUGUCUUUUAUCAAGCGCUAUAAUGAAAACACAAGCCAAGCAAGCAUUUGCAAUGCUCUGUUUGUAGAAACACCUAAAAUCUACCUAACACAACCUCUCCCUCACAAAACAUGGCUGUCUUAUUCAGAGAUUAGCAAUUAUUGUAAUGAGAUACUGUCGGAGAGGGUCAAAUAGUACUUCCUGCAGUUUACACAUCUUGAUUUCCUGGUAAACAAACUGAGAGGCAGGUGGAGCCCUCGGUGCGCCGGUAACCGAGAGCGCUCACGUGACGACACCGAGCCAGCACGCAAACAUGGUCCUUAUGUCGUCAGAGAAGAUGGUGAAUGGAAUUCCUGCCACACAGAC
rnacentral:lncRNA from 1 species